rnacentral:rRNA from 1 species
AGCAGCCGCGGUAAUUCCAGCUCCAAUAGCGUAUAUUAAAGUUGUUGCAGUUAAAAAGCUCGUAGUUGAAUUUCGGAAUCAGUACGCUGGUCGUGCCUUCGGUAUGUACUGGUGUCACUGAUUCCUCCCUUCUGAAGAACCAUCAUGCCAUUCACUUGGUGUGGUGGGGAAUCAGGACUGUUACUUUGAAAAAAUUAGAGUGUUUAAAGCAGGCUCGCGCUUGAAUACAUUAGCAUGGAAUAAUGAAAUAGGACGUUAAUCCUAUUUUGUUGGUUUCUAGGAUCGACGUAAUGAUUAAUAGGGAUAGUUGGGGGCAUUAGUAUUCAAUUGUCAGAGGUGAAAUUCUUGGAUUUAU